CGUUCCUCGUUGUUUUGCAUUUUUCGACCAAAAAACUAGAAUUUCGCUCGAUUCCCAUAUUUUUGUGUGUGCCCACGCCUUCCGAGUAGGUCCGGGCCCCCGGACCCUGAUCGCCUAAAAUUAUUCUGGGCCAUCAAAUACGACCUAAGGAGCCAUAGUCACCGCCCCGCCAUUACCGUUCCUCGUUGUUUUAUAUUUUACAGACAAUAAACUAGAAUUUCUCCCGAUUCCCAUAUUUUCGUGUGCUAAAGCCCCCGCCUUCCGAGUGUGUCUGGGCCCCCGGACCCCGAUCGCCUAAAAUUAUUCCGGGCCAUAAAAUACGACCUAAGGAACCAUAGUCACUGCCCCACCAUGGCCGUUCCUCGUUCUUUUGCGUUUUACGGCCAAAAAACUAGAAUUCCGCCCGAUUCCCAU
rnacentral:lncRNA from 1 species